rnacentral:rRNA from 1 species
CCACCACCAAAGCAUUCUCUGGUGUUGAAGGCCCUGCAAAGCAGCAUCGCGGUGGCGGAGCGUCGUUUGCGACGCCCAACACACAAAACAAGCGGUGAAUGCUUUGGGGUGGGGUGACUGCGUACCUUUUGUAUAAUGGGUCAGCGACUUAUAUUCUGUAGCAAGGUUAACCGAAUAGGGGAGCCGGAGGGAAACCGAGUCUUAAUUGGGCGUUAAGUUGCAGGGUAUAGACCCGAAACCCGGUGAUCUAGCCAUGGGCAGGUUGAAGGUUGGGUAACACUAACUGGAGGACCGAACCGACUAAUGUUGAAAAAUUAGCGGAUGACCUGUGGCUGGGGGUGAAAGGCCAAUCAAACCGGGAGAUAGCUGGUUCUCCCCGAAAGCUAUUUAGGUAGCGCCUCGUGAAUUCAUCUCCGGGGGUAGAGCACUGUUUCGGCUAGGGGGCCAUCCCGGCUUACCAACCCGAUGCAAACUGCGAAUACCGGAGAAUGUUAUCACGGGAGACACACGGCGGGUGCUAACGUCCGUCGUGAAGAGGGAAACAACCCAGACCGC